GUGGGGAAUAUUGCACAAUGGGCGAAAGCCUGAUGCAGCAACGCCGCGUGAGCGAUGAAGGCCUUUGGGUCGUAAAGCUCUGUCCUUGGGGAAGAAAAAAAUGACGGUACCCUUGGAGGAAGCCCCGGCUAACUACGUGCCAGCAGCCGCGGUAAUACGUAGGGGGCAAGCGUUAUCCGGAAUUAUUGGGCGUAAAGAGUGCGUAGGUGGUCAUGUAAGCGCGGGGUGAAAGGCAAUAGCUCAACUAUUGUAAGCCUUGCGAACUGCAUGACUUGAGUGCAGGAGAGGAAAGUGGAAUUCCUAGUGUAGCGGUGAAAUGCGUAGAUAUUAGGAGGAACACCAGUGGCGAAGGCGACUUUCUGGACUGUAACUGACACUGAGGCACGAAAGCGUGGGGAGCAAACAGGAUUAGAAACCCUAGUAGUCC
rnacentral:rRNA from 1 species